ACUCUGGACUCUGAAUCCAGCGAUCCGAGUUCAAAUCUCGGUGGGACCUUGUCGUUAGCUGUGCACAAAAGCUGGUCUUUUAUACUGGAGCCGGAAGGCGUUCCAGGAGGCAAACUCCGCCUCAAAGAUAAAGGGAAAGGGGUGUGGAUUCCGUUUGCCCUUUGUUCCAAGUCCUGGGUCAGAGGAGGGAAAGGUUUGGGUCCUGGGAGGGUUCCCCGCAGGGUGCGGGCUGUUGCAACUCCCCACGUCCCUCCUGCUCCCGACUUGCAAUGCGUCCCCGGUGAUGUCACUUGCGCUCUCCUAUCCCCUCCUCAGGGGACCAGGUCCCAAAAACUGGGUUCUCACAGUGGCCUGAUCCACAGGGAAAUUGCCAAAGCAUCCAAUGGGAGUCACCAAGCCUGGAGGGUCCCCGUCCUGAGCGGGCCUCUUGGCCCGUGCAAUGGGAGGGGCCAGAGCCCACAGCCAGUGCCCCAGCGACCCAGGAAGCCCCACCCCGUGACCCUGGGUUUUGGGGUGAGAGGUCUCCGCCACUGAAAUGGCUGCCUCGCCUCGAUCCUAGACCCGGAGAUGCCUUUCACCCAGAACAUCUCAUAAUGGCACCCGUUGUCUUUUUGAUUUUUUUUGCCGAAUUUCUAGCUCCCACGUCUCUAUUGCGGGCUCUUUGUCGCUGUUUCACUAAGCUUUGGAAGCUGAGUCUGGAAAUCUCAUUCUUUGGUCCCAGGAUCUCAGCUGGAAAGAGAAAUCCGCGCAGCGGCCUCUUAAGCUCGCGGACUGGAAGCCCUGGUCCUGAUCCUCCGCAGCCUGGAGGGAGCUCCCGCAGGGCCACAGGGAAGAGGAGGCUGAGCAGCCCAGAGGGAUGAGUGUCAGACGCCGGGCUCCCCCUCGACCGGCCAGGACCCCAGCCCCAAGGAGAAGAGGACGCCUUAGGACCAGACAGAUGCAAAAAUGUUUUCUUCUGAGCAGUAGAACACUUCGGAUGAGGCUCAUGGUGGGCGUUGAGAGCGCGCUAAGAUGUCCCUCCAGGCGCUCAGGACCAUCGCUCUGAUUUUCAUAUUUUGAAAAUAUGAGAAUUUUCAGCAGUUACAAAGGACUGAAAAACACCGAAGUCUUUGAGGCAGUCAGUUUGGAGGAUGUGGGGAGGUGAGGUGUGGGGUGGGAGAGAGGUGCCUUGUUGGCUCCUUGGAGUGGACCGGGAGGAAGGAAAACACACACACACGCUGUUUCCCCUUGCAGGCUGGACUGAAGGGCCUGGGAUGGAAAAUUGCACAGUGAAAGAGGAGCAGGUGCAUUGAAAGUUGCUAUCCCUAGAGAGAAGUGCGGGCGGGGCCAGGACGCUGCCGUCACUGCUGCUGUUCACCACCAGCUUUGCAGCGUGUGAGACCUUCAUAACAGUGUAUAGUGCAUGCAGAUCACUCGUGUUUACAAGCAACUGAUCACAAUUCCUUACAGAUUUCUUUGUUCCUUCCCCACUCCCACUGCUUCACUUGUCUAAACUUAAAGGAAAAAAUAAAACGUUUGUUUUUACA